rnacentral:rRNA from 1 species
UAGUAACUGCGAGUGAAGCGGGAAAAGCUCAAAUUUAAAAUCUGGCGGUCUUCUGGCCGUCCGAGUUGUAGUCUGGAGAAGCGUUUUCCGCGUUGGACCGUGUACAAGUUUCCUGGAACGGAGCGUCAUAGAGGGUGAGAAUCCCGUCUUUGACACGGACCCCAAUGCUUUGUGAUGCGCUCUCAAAGAGUCGAGUUGUUUGGGAAUGCAGCUCAAAAUGGGUGGUGAAUUCCAUCUAAAGCUAAAUAUUGGCGAGAGACCGAUAGCGAACAAGUACCGUGAGGGAAAGAUGAAAAGCACUUUGGAAAGAGAGUUAAACAGUACGUGAAAUUGUUGAAAGGGAAACGCUUGAAGUCAGUCGCGUCGUCCGGGACUCAGCCUUGCAUCCGCUUGGUGUACUUUCCGGUCGACGGGCCAGCAUCAGUUUUGACCGCGAGAUAAAGGCGGAGGGAAUGUGGCUCUUUCGGGAGUGUUAUAGCCCUUCGUCAGAUGUCGCGGUUGGGACUGAGGAACUCAGCACGCCUUUAUGGCCGGGGCUCGCCCACGUACGUGCUUAGGAUGCUGGCGUAAUGGCUUUAAACGACCCGUCUUGAAACACGGACCAAGGAGUCUAACAUGCCUGCGAGUGUUCGGG